CUUACUAAGCUUUUGUGGAGUCAUCACUGUUGCAUCUCUUCCUGUCUUGUUGUAACUUGGCAUGAUACUUCUUCCAGGCCACUUCUUCCAGCAUCUUCCCCAUUUUCUUGUUCAUGUAGGCACUCCCAGCCUUGAUUGAGGCUUUCUCCCUACAGCUGGAUGUGGCCUACGAUGACUUCCUGCAUUAAGUAUCACACUCAGACAAGGGGAACGCUUGAAAAGUUUUAUUCAAGUCAUUUUCACAUAAACUUGCAACCAUAAUACGGGCAUGUAACACAAGAAUAUGAAAGUGCAAUAAAGAAUACAAAGCUAGUGUCUGAAUAUUAUAAAUAAGAACUCAUCAGAUAAAGAUGCAAAGUUUUGCUGAAGUCAAGACUGUUGGAAGAAAAGUGAAGGAAAUAAUGAAAACUUCAAAAAAAGCUGCAAAAACAAGUGGCAUUUCACUGAAUCUGUAGCAGUUAGUUGCAUAAUAGAAACCUCCCCGUAACAUACUCAUCGGUUUUAAUUCAAGUUAAAACCUUUCAGCACCUUCUAGGAUUUGGAGAAAAUGAAAAAUGCCAUGUCAGCAUAAAUGUGAGACACAGGAUAAACCACCUUUGGUUGUCUGGUGUGAAAUUCACCCUGCUGGUUUGAAUGAGUACAGUACAAACAACACAUAAAUGACUAAGGUACGUUUGGUGUUUGCACCCAUUCAACGCUGCACAGUAAACUUUGGAGCAGAGAGAAAACGAGUAGGCUUUCACCAACACACAAAAAAAAACAUCUACGCAAUAUGCUGGUUCAGAUGGUGACCGAUCUGUCAUUUUCGUCAUGUUUUUGUCUAGAAGUAUUCAAAUACUAAAUAUAUUUCAGGAUUAAAAAAAAAAAAACCACGUAACGAACCCCUUCUGUAGGGAGCCUGAUACGCAGCGUGUUCCUUAUGAGCAGCUUUUAUCUGAAGGCCUGAAAUGUGGGAGGCGACUGCUUCGCACAUGUACUUCAUGUCCUCACAUUUCAAAGAGGAUCUCAGACCACACGGCAGUGAUUUUGUACUGCGACUCAUAUGAUACUGCUCCCACUGACUCCCAUUCAAACGCCUGGCAGGAAGGGUUCCAAGACAGAAUUUGCUUCAUAAGAUGUUAUCAAAACUGUUUUUUUUUUUUUAUAUAUAUAUAUAUAUAUAAAUGGUUUUCAACAAAAACAAACAAACAAACAAACAAAAAAAUGCAUGUAAUUUCUUAAAUAUAUUCCAGUAUGAAAAUAGUUAAGAUACCUGGGUCAAAACUGCAAAGCCAAGAUACUGAAGAUACUGGCUGGCACUCCCCUAUUUAGAAAUGCUUCUACACUUGCUAUAUGAUCAACUCUUCUACUGCAUUGUGAUUAACUAUAGUUAAAUAGGGUAAGUUAAAGUCACAUUUCUUCUUCUUUUUUUUUUUUUAAUCCUAAAAUCUCCUUGCUUUUCUGGAUAGAUCGCUCGUGUUAUCUUAGGCAACGUUUGUGCUGUUGUACAUCACUGUCAUGUUCCUUAACUUACACUUUAAAACAAAUACAACGUUUUGCUACGGAAAAGAGCUACAUCUCUGUAACCACAAUAUCCCCAAUACUCAGUUAUGGCGUUCAGCACCUUUCCGAACCAGGCCAUUCCCACUGAAAGGUCCAAGUCCAGUACUACAACAUGCUCCACCUACAACAGGAUGCUUAAGCUCCUCUGGCUUCUUGCUGAUCUCAGUGGAGUUCUGCAAGUAGUUUGGAUAUAGAUACGCAAGCAGGGUACUGCCUUGAAAACUGAGGGAGAAACUCCUCAGCUGCUCUGUGUCCAGUUAGCACUCUCUUAUCCCACGUUCAGUGUCAAGCACCAUGAAGUAAGAGCACACCACCUCUUACCAGGAAGCAGUCUGUGCCCGCCACAGCUUAGCUUCCAUUACAGUAGUAGCUUGUGUUUCUAUUGCACAAGCUGCUGCCAGGACUUUCACCCCAAUUCUGACCUAAGUUUCUAGAAAGGUGAAUGCAUUUGCAUCCCCCAAACCUUAAAGACUGUUUGAGCUGAGAUUUCAGAAGCCUAAACUUGAACCAGGCCCUCGCUUUGCAGAUGCAUGCAAUAAAUGGCCUCCUAAGAAAGCUGGUCUCCAAAUUUUGCUCCUCUUUGGGGCCCACAGUGGUAACUGAUUGCUAAAAUGGAUCUCUGAGCAAACAAAGAAAGGACCUGCAGUCUAAACUGCAUUCAGGACACGCUUCAAACACUGGGCAGUGAGAAGGGGGCUGUUGGUUCUUAGGUGCUUUUUCAGCAUACCAACUAGCUCUACAAGCAUAACCUAGUCAUGAUUAAGGUGGAAGUACUUUACAGUCCUGAAAUAAAUAUAUGCAGUAAAGAACACGUUGAUCCGUAACGGUUAUCACAACUGAUAGAACUUGCAAACAGAGUUCAUAGGGUUCUAUUUCAUAAAACACUUCCAAACACUGCCUGAAGUAUUCUCAGCAGUGAUCAAAAACCUUGCGUAUUCCUCAGGUUUUUUUCCCUUUCUUCAACUAUACUGAAUAGCACACAUAUUGUAUCUAUAUAUCUAUAUAUCUAUAUAUAUGUGUGUGGUACUGAGGUUUCACGUUUCGUUAGGCACUAUGGAACUCCUGCUUAAACAUAACCAACACCAUGGUUUUAAAAAUGGUCAUGGUCUCAAAAGUAGGUCCUUCAUUUUACAUGAUCUGAAAUCUUCCGAAAGAAAGCACGAGAUCCCCUUGUGAUAUGUUAUUUCACAGUUUAAAGACAAAAAUCACAGCUACUGUAGCUUACAGCAGGGUGCACUGCAAAAGCAAGAUAAUUUGGGGAUGGGAGGAGGGGUGGUGUACCCAGCACCAGUAAGAAGUUCAGUGAAAAAAAAAUUUGAUGUGGGCUGGAAGUUUUUCCCCUUAGCAAUGUUUGGGUCCUGAACAGCCUAAGUUAGGAUGCUUAGUGUAUUUGCUUCUGUUCUCCCUCUGUAUUCCCAAUUCCGCCGGUCGAAUUCUGAGAUAUAGAUCCAAGUUUUAACAGCCAAAUGCAGUACUUAAGGGGGAAGUAGGCAUUAGGCUUUCUCACAACGGAAAUACCACGUUAGAGAUUCUGACCUGCUUUUCUUUCGUGGUGCCAUCCGAGUUAACUGCCUGCGCUGUUCUGAUGGCUAACCUGUUCAAAUGGACUGUUUCUCACAGAUGACUGCACCAGGGACUCUUCACCAUCUCUGCGAGCCCUCUCCUUGGCAGGUAAUCAUUUCUAUCCACGUUACGUGUGCAGAAGUCUUUUAAAAAGCCCCACCUUGAAAGAUCUCUUCAACGUAGAAAGGUGGAUAAGUUCUUUAAUUUGUUCCUAUGGACGGAAGGUUUCUUUCAAAACCCCAUCCACUUUGGACUUAAGGAAACGGUAGAACUUCUAACGUAUUAAAAGUGUAAACACAGCUUUUCUUGCAGGGGGGUAACUGAUAGAUAGAUAUAGAUAUAUGCAUUUCUCUGCUAUAUGUUAAUAUCCCUUGAAAACUGAACGUACUUCUCUCAUUCGUAUCAACACGUCCCAGCAAGUUUUGUCUGAAUGGUUACAGUGGGCUGAAACCACAGCAGUUUUUC
ensembl:lncRNA